AGCGAACGCUGGCGGCAGGCCUAACACAUGCAAGUCGAACGAAGUCUUCGGACUUAGUGGCGGACGGGUGAGUAACACGUGGGAACGUGCCUUUAGGUUCGGAAUAACUCAGGGAAACUUGUGCUAAUACCGAAUGUGCCCUUCGGGGGAAAGAUUUAUCGCCUUUAGAGCGGCCCGCGUCUGAUUAGCUAGUUGGUGAGGUAAAGGCUCACCAAGGCGACGAUCAGUAGCUGGUCUGGGAGGAUGCUCAGCCACAUUGGGACUGAGACACGGCCCAAACUCCUACGGGAGGCAGCAGUGGGGAAUCUUGCGCAAUGGGCGAAAGCCUGACGCAGCCAUGCCGCGUGAAUGAUGAAGGUCUUAGGAUUGUAAAAUUCUUUCACCGGGGACGAUAAUGACGGUACCCGGAGAAGAAGCCCCGGCUAACUUCGUGCCAGCCGCCGCAGUAACAC
rnacentral:rRNA from 1 species